CCUACGGGAGUCAGCAGUGGGGCAUAUUGCACAAUGGGGGAAACCCUGAUGCAGCGACGCCGCGGGAGUGAAGAAGUAAUUCGUUAUGUAAAGCUCUAUCAGCAGGGAAGAAAAUGACGGUACCUGAGUCAGAAGCCCCGGCUAACUACGUGCCAGCAGCCGCGGUAAUACGUAGGGGGCAAGCGUUAUCCGGAUUUACUGGGUGUAAAGGGAGCGUAGACGGCAGUGCAAGUCAGGAGUGAAAGGCGGGGGCUCAACCCCAGGACUGCACUGGAAACUGUCCGACUGGAGUGCAGGAGAGGUAAGUGGAAUUCCUAGUGUAGCGGUGAAAUGCGUAGAUAUUAGGAGGAACACCAGUGGCGAAGGCGGCUUACUGGACUGUAACUGACGUUGAGGCUCGAAAGCGUGGGGAGCAAACAGGAUUAGAUACCCCAGUAGUC
rnacentral:rRNA from 1 species